UAAGUCCCGUAACGAGCGCAACCCUUGUCCUUAGUUACCAUCAUUAAGUUGGGGACUCUAAGGAGACUGCCGGUGACAAACCGGAGGAAGGCGGGGACGACGUCAAGUCAUCAUGGCCCUUACGAGUAGGGCUACACACGUGCUACAAUGGCAAGUACAGAGGGUUGCGAAGCAGCAAUGUGAAGCUAAUCCCAGAAAGCUUGUCGUAGUCCGGAUUGGAGUCUGCAACUCGACUCCAUGAAGUCGGAAUCGCUAGUAAUCGUGAAUCAGAAUGUCACGGUGAAUACGUUCCCGGGCCUU
rnacentral:rRNA from 1 species